rnacentral:rRNA from 1 species
UGCGUAGGCGGAAUAUUAAGUCAGUGGUGAAAUCCCGCGGCUCAACCGUAGAACUGCCAUUGACACUGAUAUUCUUGAAUGUAGUUGAGGUAGGCGGAAUGUGUAAUGUAGCGGUGAAAUGCUUAGAUAUUACACAGAACACCGAUUGCGAAGGCAGCUUACUAAACUAUGAUUGACGCUGAGGCACGAAAGCGUGGGGAGCGAACAGGAUUAGAUACCCUGGUAGUCC